rnacentral:rRNA from 1 species
AUUGAACGCUGGCGGCAGGCCUAACACAUGCAAGUCGAGCGGAUGAAGGGAGCUUGCUCCUGGAUUCAGCGGCGGACGGGUGAGUAAUGCCUAGGAAUCUGCCUGGUAGUGGGGGAUAACGUCCGGAAACGGGCGCUAAUACCGCAUACGUCCUGAGGGAGAAAGUGGGGGACCUUCGGACCUCACGCUAUCAGAUGAGCCUAGGUCGGAUUAGCUAGUUGGUGGGGUAAAGGCCUACCAAGGCGACGAUCCGUAACUGGUCUGAGAGGAUGAUCAGUCACACUGGAACUGAGACACGGUCCAGACUCCUACAGGAGGCAGCAGUGGGGAAUAUUGGACAAUGGGCGAAAGCCUGAUCCAGCCAUGCCGCGUGUGUGAAGAAGGUCUUCGGAUUGUAAAGCACUUUAAGUUGGGAGGAAGGGCAGUAAGUUAAUACCUUGCUGUUUUGACGUUACCAACAGAAUAAGCACCGGCUAACUUCGUG